AUGCUUGCUUCAGCAACAUAUAUGAUAAACUUGGAACAAUACAGAGAAAAUGAGCAUGGCCCCUGCACAAGGAUGACAUGCAAAUUCAUGAAGCAUUCCAUUUCUUU
ensembl:snRNA RNU6-254P RNA, U6 small nuclear 254, pseudogene